UACGUAGGGGGCAAGCGUUGUCCGGAUUCAUUGGGCGUAAAGAGCGUGUAGGCGGCCAGGUAGGUCGGUUGUGAAAACUGGAGGCUCAACCUUCAGAGGUCGACCGAAACCAUCUGGCUAGAGUCCGGGAGAGGAGAGUGGAAUUCCUGGUGUAGCGGUGGAAUGCGCAGAUAUCAGGAGGAACACCGAUGGCGAAGGCAGAUCUCUGGGCCGUAACUGACGCUGAGGAGCGAAAGCAUGGGGAGCGAACAGG
rnacentral:rRNA from 1 species